AGCAGUAGCCGCGGGAAUACGUAGGUGGCAAGCGUUGUCCGGAAUUAUUGGGCGUAAAGGGCUCGCGGGCGGUUUCUUAAGUCUGAUGUGAAAGCCCCCGGCUCAACCGGGGAGGGUCAUUGGAAACUGGGAAACUUGAGUGCAGAAGAGGAGAGUGGAAUUCCACGUGUAGCGGUGAAAUGCGUAGAGAUGUGGAGGAACGCCGGUGGCGAAGGCGACUCUCUGGUCUGUAACUGACGCUGAGGAGCGGAAGCGUGGGGAGCGAACAGGAUUAGAUACCCCUGUAGUCCCUGUCUCUUAUAC
rnacentral:rRNA from 1 species